UCGGGAAUUUUGGGCAAUGGGCGAAAGCCUGACCCAGCAACGCCGCGUGUGGGAAGAAGGCCUUCGGGUUGUAAACCACUUUUGUCAGGGAAGAAACGGCCUGAUCUAAUACAUUGGGUUAAUGACGGUACCUGAAGAAUAAGCACCGGCUAACUACGUGCCAGCAGCCGCGGUAAUACGUAGGGUGCGAGCGUUAAUCGGAAUUACUGGGCGUAAAGCGUGCGCAGGCGGCUUUGCAAGACAGAUGUGAAAUCCCCGGGCUCAACCUGGGAACUGCAUUUGUGACUGCAAGGCUAGAGUACGGUAGAGGGGGAUGGAAUUCCGCGUGUAGCAGUGAAAUGCGUAGAUAUGCGGAGGAACACCGAUGGCGAAGGCAAUCCCCUGGGCCUGUACUGACGCUCAUGCACGAAAGCGUGGGGAGCAAACAGGAUUAGAUACCCCCGUAGUCCCUGAGCGGGCUGGCAAGGCGCAU
rnacentral:rRNA from 1 species